rnacentral:lncRNA from 1 species
AACAGGAGUGAGAGAAUGGAUAUCUUAGACGGCGUCUGAAUCAACUGAUCGACUACCAUGUAAUCGCUUUUCUUUAUAAUUCUUAAAAGCUCGUCCACAUCAUUCGAGAAAGUAGGCUCUGAGCCAGCUUGGGAGGCAGAGGUACCCUCAUUUACAACUUGUUUGCCUUUGGCCUUAGCCGCGGCAUCAGCAUUCUCACUUUGG